rnacentral:rRNA from 1 species
GUGCGCCUACGGGACGCAGCAGUGAGGAAUAUUGGUCAAUGGGCGAGAGCCUGAACCAGCCAAGUCGCGUGAAGGAUGACGGCCCUACGGGUUGUAAACUUCUUUUGUCAGGGAGCAAUUGGGUCCACGCGUGGGCUUAGCGAGAGUACCUGAAGAAAAAGCAUCGGCUAACUCCGUGCCAGCAGCCGCGGUAAUACGGAGGAUGCGAGCGUUAUCCGGAUUUAUUGGGUUUAAAGGGUGCGUAGGCGGAAUAUCAAGUCAGCGGCAAACAUUCGGGGCUCAACUCCGUCG